CGGCUAUAUAGAGUUGAAACACCGUUCACCGAAGUUAAGCAACAUCGAGCCCGUUCAGUAGCUAGAUGGGUGACCACUUGGGAAUACCAGGUGUUGUAAG